GAAGCUCUUCUUGACAUUUUUGGAUAGCCAGUAGAAAUCAUACCCCUGAGCCUCAUGCACACCUGGGAAAAAUGCACAAGAAAGCAGAAUCCAUAAGGAUUGAACCUCAACUACCAAGGGGACGAAGGAGUGAAUUGAUGUUAAGAUGCCUGUCAAGGAGAGGAGCCAUGAAACGUGUCCAGAUACUGAAUGUUGGAAGAGAAAUAGAGAUGAAAUCACAGAAGUUUGCAGGAAGAUGAAACUUUUCUGUGAGGGGAGCCGAAGAGCCUCCCUGAUGGGCAUUUUACAUGCAGAAACUCCUGGGCUUGUGUUUAACUUUAGGAGACAUCUUUUAGGUCUUUUCAAGAAACCAACUCUUUUUUUUUU